AACACUCGUGUCGCCCACCUUCUUACAUUGACUGUUCCCAAAUGGCUUCUUCGAUCCAGACGACGAAGCAUUUCCCUAUAUCUUCCCCAUUUUCAGCCAGCUUUCAAUUCUCUCACCAGCCACUACUAUGUCUACAAAACCAGCGACGGGACAACCCACCAUCCUUUCAGCAAAAGUCCCCUAGAGGGUACCCAUGAACAGAUCAGACAUCUCCCGAUCCACUAACGGUGGUUGAACUCUG
rnacentral:lncRNA from 1 species